CUACGGCGGCUGCAGUGGGGAAUAUUGGACAAUGGGCGAAAGCCUGAUCCAGCCAUGCCGCGUGUGUGAAGAAGGCCUUCGGGUUGUAAAGCACUUUCAGUGGGGAAGAAAGCCUUGGGGCUAAUACCCUCGAGGAAGGACAUCACCCACAGAAGAAGCACCGGCUAACUCCGUGCCAGCAGCCGCGGUAAUACGGAGGGUGCGAGCGUUAAUCGGAAUUACUGGGCGUAAAGCGCGCGUAGGCGGUCUGAUAAGCCGGUUGUGAAAGCCCCGGGCUCAACCUGGGAACGGCAUCCGGAACUGUCAGGCUAGAGUGCAGGAGAGGAAGGUAGAAUUCCCGGUGUAGCGGUGAAAUGCGUAGAGAUCGGGAGGAAUACCAGUGGCGAAGGCGGCCUUCUGGACUGACACUGACGCUGAGGUGCGAAAGCGUGGGUAGCAAACAGGAUUAGAUACCCUUGUAGUC
rnacentral:rRNA from 1 species